rnacentral:lncRNA from 1 species
UUUUGUCCUGACUAAUAAUUAUAACUCAGGAGUGCCAAAGUCCUCCAGGCCACGCAUACCAUGAGAGCAUUCUAUCUCCUACCUCUCCCACUAGAUUUUUCCAUCCCAGCAUCCACCUGCCCUUAUUACUGCAUGUUCCAAGUUGAAAGCUAAAUCCUUGUCUUUUUCACAUGCUCAGGUUAUGGCCUACUCACUUUAAUCCUCAAAAGCUGCCUGUUCUCCUCAAGACAGGGACUUGCCUUUCAAAGCUGAAUACUUCAGUGCUGCUACUACUGCCCCACAAUCUGUAACUGCCAUGAAUUCAUUCCCAGUACAGUGACUUCUGAAAUAGCCC